rnacentral:lncRNA from 1 species
AUGAAGGAAACCCCUCGGUCCCCAGCAUCUCGGCGGCAGCACCGGGAAGCCGUGGUUGUGACUCCUGAUCCUCAGGUCUCUGAUGGAAGCACCCGAGAAUGGGUCCCGGGGAUUAAGGAGGAAGCAGAGGGUUUUGGUGAAGCAGACUCUGUUCUACGGAGGUGGGAAGGGAGAUCAGAGGAGCAGAGAGUGCUUGGUAUGGAUGACGUUCAGACCCAAGAGCAGCAGAGGCCAUGGAAGGUCAUGGAAGUGGACCCACAAGGCUCAGCAGCGUGGUGGGGCAAUGAACGUGACUCUACUUGGUUGUCUCAGCAAGUGGUGUGACACCAUUUCUUCUGAUAGCAUGACAGCUGAGAUUUUCUGAGGCACCUGAGGCAGGCAGCACCCGGAGAGCAAGAUUUUCUCAAUGAAGUGUGUUUUUUGCUCUGAUUUUCCUCUGCUGCUAUUACAGGCCAUGGACUUCAUGAACUGCAGCCCCUCCUCCAUCCUGUCUUUUAUGUGCAGCUCAGUUUUGGAGUUCGGAAGGCUUUUUGUGUGUUGAUUUUGUGCCCAUAUUGGAUACAUUUUAAAAAUACUUCUAAAUAUCUCUGCUUCUCGUAGAUAACUUUUGAUGGGGACAUUUGGAAAUAAAUGUGAACAAAUGCUGAACA